UACGGAAGGCAGCAGGGGGGAAUAUUGCACAAUGGGCGCAAGCCUGAUGCAGCCAUGCCGCGUGUAUGAAGAAGGCCUUCGGGUUGUAAAGUACUUUCAGUCGUGAGGAAGGUGUUAAGGUUAAUAACCUUAGCAAUUGACGUUAGCGACAGAAGAAGCACCGGCUAACUCCGUGCCAGCAGCCGCGGUAAUACGGAGGGUGCGAGCGUUAAUCGGAAUUACUGGGCGUAAAGGGCACGCAGGCGGUUAAUUAAGUUGGAUGUGAAAUCCCCGGGCUUAACCUGGGAAUGGCAUUCAAGACUGGUUAGCUAGAGUCUUGUAGAGGGGGUAGAAUUCCAUGUGUAGCGGUGAAAUGCGUAGAGAUGUGGAGGAAUACCGGUGGCGAAGGCGGCCCCUGGACAAAGACUGACGCUCAUGUGCGAAAGCGUGGGGAGCGAAACAGGGAUUAGAUAC
rnacentral:rRNA from 1 species